UACUUUGACCUAUGUCUGGGUAUAGGGGUGCCGCUGAGGGUUUGAAAUCCUGACCCUGUUUAGGAAAAAAUACUCUAAAGAUAAGGUCUCGGGUAAACGCUGCCGUCACCGUAAGUUUGGUCGGAUUGAUUGAGGCUAAAAAUCGGGUUUGCAGUUGCUUUUCCCCGAACUUUCGUUCUUGGACAGGAAAGAGCCUUAGCUCCAGGUUCUGGGCUCGAGAAUGCCAUCAGUACUAAAAUAAUGCUUCUAAACUUCUUUGACUUCGCGUAUGUUACGUAUCCAGGAAUUUUUAUGUUCCUCAACCCAGGGCUCCAGUUUUCCCAGUGAAUAGCUCGAGACCAUAGGCUUCUCCCAUCUCUCCUAAUUUCAUUCGUACCAUUCCCUUCUCCUUAAUUUAUGAAUUGAAAGGAAUUGAAAGGAAGGCUUAUUUCAAAACAUUUUCAAGGUGUUUCCUCGUUUUAUCAUUCCGAAUGUAGCAAGAUUAUUUUAGUUCAUCAAGGAUUGUAGCAAGCCCAAGCCUAGCUUAAACUCUGGCUAUCAGAAGAUUAUACAGCGAUUUUAUAUUAACGUUGGCGGGGCACGAACUCCAAGAAGAGACUGAGUAAUCACCAAAUCAUACUGAAGGGUGUAGAAGAUUACAAGACUUGCGUGUAAAGAGCGCGCCUGUAAAAGCACACCGCUUUACUCAGGCCUUCUAGAGGUGAGUAAAAGAAAAAAGUACCGGCGUAUUCUGUUCUCUUGUACCCUGUUCUCUGGUAGUUGUUAAACCAGUUAGUACAUUUGAAUUUGGACUUGUUCGUCUUCCGUUAUCCAACGUUUAUAUUCGAUUGUUCUUUGGGAAAAUUGAACUUUUGUCUUUUACUAUUGUAUGCUUCUUUACCUUUACUACGUUGUAAUUUAGGCCUAAUAUAAGUCAAUGCUAUCGUAUCCUGCCCGUACGAUCAAGCAAGCCAGCAAUCAAGUUUAUUUCCAUUUCGGUUAAUACAUUUUACAUGAAAUUUGGACAAAUAUGAAAGAAUGGUGGAGGACUAAAGAAACCUUCAUAGCCUUUUAGAAGGUAGUCCCCCUAUGAAUGACCUUAAUUGCAAAAUAGCUAAUACAUUUGGUAUAUCAGGGAUAUACCAAAUACCAGGCAAUAUACCAGGCAUAUAUUAGACAAGUAAACACACCAGGUGUAUUUUUUAUUAAUACUUCUUGCUUACAAUGCAUAUUUUACAACGAUUAAUUCAUGACGUACUUACAGCACAGUGCUUACAAUGCUUUGCUUACUUACAACACAUUACUUAUUUACGUAUUUACGAUGCAACAAUUAAGACUUCAAAUUACCUAGCUUUCGAUAACUUCCAUUUCUUAUUUCCAACAGUUAAUGGUGUGAAAUAGUAACUAGCCUAUAGUUAUCGCUUAUCUCAGUUAAAAUUUCAGUCCAUUUCCAAGAGACUAUAAUCUACAUCAUAGUCUCUUGCCUCGUGCCCUCUUGCCAUUUCUCAGCUAUAAAUAAAUUUUAUAGAUCUCAUUUCUCAGCUGAAAGUCAAAUCUUAUCCAGACUCUCUAGAAAUGCCCCAGAAUAGAUAAAUCGUCUUAGAUUCUUAUCCGUCAAGAGUUACUUGAAAAAUUGUUCCGGCGUCGGAUACAACGGGUUUUCCAUAAGUCCAGAGUAAUGUCUUAAGUUGGUAUUGAUAACUUUCUCUAAGUUCGAUUUAUACAGAGCGUUUGAGCCAUGCUAAAAUGGAAGAAGUAGACUGUCUUUGUUGCUCCGUAAGAUGGAAUUAUCGUGGAUAGAUCUACACAGGUUGCUUCAAGAGAAUUGUCAAACUUUAUUGUAACUGCAGACCUGGUGUUCCUGGUUAGGUCACGAUUUUGACCAAAACUCUACCAAGGAAGACAAAAAUCCACUGGGAUGUUUCGUUUUUCCACCAGGUUGUAAAAUAUUUUUUGUUACACGUAAAGCAACAAACUAUUUGACUUCAGUUAAAAUACACUUAUAUUUAACAUAAGGCUUUUGAUACUGCACGGGCACGAGGAACGUAUAAGCGCUGUUGACUCCACGGUGCAAAAUGUUCGCUCCGUGAACCAGUAGCUUAAUGUGCAAAGGUUUUGUUCUACGCUGUUAGAAUUUUCCCGGAAGGGCUUCUCGCUCGCAGAAACAAAAUUAGGGAACCCGCAGAUCUCUGUAGUCUUACGCUAUAAGUAUCCUGAUUUACUGAAAUUAAAUCGGCAUUUCGUGCUGUGGGAAGCGUCUGGGCCGACAAGGUGCGGUCGUUGCACGAAGCAAGGCCAUCGCGUGACCACUUUUCCUAAAAUUAUGGACUUAAAAAAAGAUGGAAAAAACAUGUCGAAAAUAUCAAAAUGGCUAAGUUUAAGACCCCUGGCAUUACAGAAUGAGAUUUUAUGACGUUUUGAAUUUUUAAAACAUUAAGAAGAUUUGUAUCGCUAAAAGUGACCAUUUAUCAGCCAUUGCUGAUCAUGUGAAAACCACUGGUCACAACAUAAAAUGGGAUCAUUUUGACAAUUUAGCGUCCGGCAAAACUGACUUUCAUUACAAACUUAAAGAGACACUGUUCAUUUAAGAACUAAAGCCUACCCUUAAUGUCAAUGUCAGUAGUAAGAAGUUGUUGCUUUAUUAGCUGUUACUCCUCAUGAUGUCUAGACAGGUUAACGUACUGCUGCAGAUCAUUUUUCUCAGUCUAGGUUCCAGACCUCUCAUUUUUACGAUAUAUAGUUUUCAAAAA
rnacentral:lncRNA from 1 species